rnacentral:rRNA from 1 species
CGCGGUAGCAAUACUGGCGACGACCGGCGCACGGGUGCGUAACGCGUAUGCAAUUUGCCAUAACAAGGGGAUAGCCCGGAGAAAUCCGGAUUAAUACCCUAUAAUAUAGAGGAGAGGCAUCUUUCUUUUAUUAAAGAUUUAUCGGUUAUGGAUGAGCAUGCGUCUGAUUAGCUAGUUGGUGAGGUAAUGGCUCACCAAGGCCACAAUCAGUAGGGGGUCUGAGAGGAUGAUCCCCCACACUGGUACUGAGAUACGGACCAGACUCCUACGGGAGGCAGCAGUAGGGAAUAUUGGGCAAUGGGCGAGAGCCUGACCCAGCCAUGCCGCGUGUAGGAAGAAGGCUUUCUGAGUUGUAAACUACUUUUGAUCGGGAACAAAAGAUCCUUGCGAGGAGCAUUGAGUGUACCGAUAGAAUAAGCACCGGCUAACUCCGUGCCAGCAGCCGCGGUAAUACGGAGGGUGCAAGCGUUGUCCGGAUUUAUUGGGUUUAAAGGGUGCGUAGGCGGCUAAUUAAGUCAGCGGUGAAAUUCCACAGCUUAACUGUGGAACUGCCAUUGAUACUGGUUGGCUUGAGUACAGAUGAGGUAGGCGGAAUUGACAGUGUAGCGGUGAAAUGCUUAGAUAUUGUCAAGAACACCUAUUGCGAAGGCAGCUUACUAAGCUGUAACUGACGCUGAGGCACGAAAGCGUGGGGAUCAAACAGGAUUAGAUACCCUGGUAGUCCACGCCGUAAACGAUGAUUACUCGAUGUGUGCGAUAGACAGUACGCGUCCAAGCGAAAGCGUUAAGUAAUCCACCUGGGGAGUACGCCCGCAAGAGUGAAACUC